GAUGAACGCUGGCGGCGUGCUUAACACAUGCAAGUCGAACGGAAAGGCCCAAGCUUGCUUGGGUACUCGAGUGGCGAACGGGUGAGUAACACGUGGGUGAUCUGCCCUGCACUUCGGGAUAAGCCUGGGAAACUGGGUCUAAUACCGGAUAGGACCACAUUUUGGAUGGUGUGGUGGAAAGUUUUUCGGUGUGGGAUGAGCUCGCGGCCUAUCAGCUUGUUGGUGGGGUAAUGGCCUACCAAGGCGUCGACGGGUAGCCGGCCUGAGAGGGUGUACGGCCACAUUGGGACUGCGAUACGGCCCAGACUCCUACGGGAGGCAGCAGUGGGGAAUAUUGCACAAUGGGCGCAAGCCUGAUGCAGCGACGCCGCGUGGGGGAUGACGGCCUUCGGGUUGUAAACUCCUUUCGCUAGGGACGAAGCGUUAUGUGACGGUACCUGGAGAAGAAGCACCGGCUAACUACGUG
rnacentral:rRNA from 1 species